ACCAAGGGCGGGGCCACAUCCACUGCAGCUGAGCUCAGAGCCUUCUGUGGGGUCUGCAGUGGCAAGGCCAGCUGCCCCCUGUCUUCCCUCUGGAGCUCUUUGAGGAAUGCAGUUCUUUUGCAUAAGAAAGGCUUUUCUCUCCAGUCAUUCUGCUUGCUGAUCAAGAACACUUAACAGCUUCAGGCUUUCCUGAUACUUUGAUGAAGGUAAUUGGGACUCCCAUCAAAUCUCCACACAGCUAGCAGCCACGUGGGGCACUUCUCCAGGAACUACUGACAGAGAUCUGGGAGAGCUGACUUUGGUGAAAAUUCUCACCUUGCACAGGCUUGUGUCUGUUUUCCAGAAUCCUACCUGCAGACUCCAGAAUGAAGUGUCCCAGCUGUCCCUUUCUCAUUGCCAGAAACUUCUACCCUUCUCAUUCCUUUGCUUGUACCCCUGUAACAAGAGACAGAUUAAUGAGAGAAAAUCAUGCAAGUUGAUUUACUGUAUGUUUUAUGUGACAUGAGUCUUCAUAAGAAAACUAAGCCCAAAAGAAGCAGUUAAACCUGAGUGUUUUUUUUUGCUGGUCUGAUGAAGAGUGAAGAGUCAUGGAGAAAUGUAAUGGGACCAAAAGGUGUCAGCUAAGUGUAGUAAACUGGGGGAAACAGCAAGGGCUAUUCCUUCAGAUUCCUCUCAGUGUCCCUGUGUCUUCAGAGAUAAAGAUCUUUUCCUCUGGGUAAAGCGUGGCAGCUCUCACAUGAGGGUUUUAUUACAUGCUUCAGCAGAAAGUCAAAAAGCCCUUCCCAGGUUUUAUGACCUCUUUCAGCGAAAGGUGAGAAAGUCCUUCCUACACAUUUGGUUUCUGAAAUUCCUUCAGCUUAAAAUAUUCAUUAUGCCAAGUUUCCAUAUUUUGGGGUGGCAUGUCCUGAAUAUAUUGUCAGAGCAUUACAGAAAAAAUACACCCAAACACACACACACACACACACACACACACACACACACACACACACACGGACAACACAUUCCCUAUGACUAUCUUAAAACUGAUUAACCUCAAACAUUUAAUUUUGGAUGACUGAGUCAAAAAGAGAAUUGAAAUUGCCAUCACAUAUCUGGUCAAGCUGAAAGAUGGCAUUUGGUAUUGGAAAUUGAUGGCUGCUGGUCAUGUAACACCCAUGCCUCAGUUACAUAUCUGGCUCAUGAGAUAAGAAUGCUAAACAGUAUAAACAAGACACCUCAGUAUGAAAACGUUCUGCCGUUACAAAGGUACUCUCUUUGUGUUACUCUGCAUUCUCUCCCAGCCCUGUAGCAAUUUAUCCUUUGUCCAUAUAUUGAAGAUAGAUUUGUUUACAUCUACUCUUAGCCUUCCUGAAUAUCCUUUGCUCCAGGAGAGCCUUAAGCCAAGGGUAGAAAUGACAAGACAGACUCUAUGUUUGCAGAACACCACAUAGUCACAGCGAUGCACAUGGAAAGGAAAAUAUGAGAACAAGGUCUUUCAAGCCAGAUUUGGCCUAUGUUUGUAUUAAAGGUGUUAUUCCCAUGUAAGACCUUAAGACAUAAUAUUAAUAAUAAUUCAGCUAUGAAAGGUUCAUGUUGAGUUCUACUUGCAUGGGCAAGCUAUUAGGUAGAAGUUAAAGAUGCACAGAACACAUUAGUUCUUUCUAGGUAUAUCCUUAGCAGAGCAAAAUUGCAACCCAAGUUAGAACAGGAAAAACUUGAUGAAGCAUGAAAUUACCAGCUGGUCUGAUGGGAGAUAUGAUGUGGCCCUAAGGUACAGUAGGUGGUGCCUGAAGCAUGGUGACAGUAGUGGAAACACCUUAUGGUGACCCACAAUUAGUCACUCUCAUGCAAUUCCCUUUCCUUGGGUGUGGGAAGAACCUGCCAGUAGCAUGUGGCAAAGGAUAUCAUUACUAUGUUUAUGCUAUGUUAUAUGUCAAAAGUGAAGAUAUAGUGCAGAUGUAAUUAAAGAAAUCAGUUGGCUUUGAGUUCAUUAAAAGGCAGAAUAGCCUAUGUAGACCUCCCCUUAUCAGAUGAGCCACUUAAAAUGGCUCCUAGGCAGAUCACAAGGUCAGGAGAUCGAGACCCACCCCCCCUCCCCGCCCCUCCGGCUAACAUGGUGAAACCUCAUCUCUACUAAAAAUACAAAAAAACGAGCUAGGCGUGGUGGCGGGCGCCUGUAGUUCCAGCUACUCGGGAGACUGAGGCAGGAGAAUGGCGUAAACCUGGGAGGUGGAGCUUGCAGUGAGCCGAGAUCGUGCCACUGCACUCCAGCCUGGGCAACAGAGCGAGACUCCGUCUAAAAAAAAAAUGGCUCCUAGGCCUUCCCUGAUGUCAGGCAAAAUAGAAAAGACUCUGUCUCUUCAUUGCUGCCUUUGAAGAAGCAAGCUGCCAUGAAUUCUAUAGCCAUUGUAAAAUGAAUUCUGCCAACAAGCAAAUGAGCUUAAAAAGUAACAGAGUCUGCGCACAGUGGUUCACGCCUGUAAUCCCAUCACUUUGGGAGGCUGAGGUGGGUAGAUUGCUUGAGCCCAGGAGUUUGAGACCAGCCUGGGCAACAUGGUAAAACUUCAUCUCUAUAGUAAAAUACAAAAAUUACCCGGGCACAGUGGCAUGCACCUGUAGUCCUAGCUGCUCAGGAGGCUGAGGUGAAAGGAUGGUUUGGGUCCAGGAGGCAGAGGUUGCAGUGAGUCAAAAUCACCCCUCUGCACUCCAGCCUGAGUGAGAGCCAGACUCUAUCUAAAAUAAACAAAAACAAAAACAAACACGUAAUACAGGCCACUGACACCUUGAUUGAAUCCCUGUGAAAUAUUUCACCUGAAAAUCCAGCUAACCUGUGCCCACUGAUCCACAGGAAUGGAGAUAAUAUAUUUACAUUGUUGCAAACUGCUAAAUUGACUGGAUGUGGUGGCUCACACCUGUAAUCCCAGCAUCUUGGGAAACCAAGGUGGGGGGAAUCACUUGAGGCCAGGAGUUUGAGACUAGCCUGAGCAACGUAGCAAGACCCUGUCUCUACAAAAUUAAAAAAUUAGCUGAGUGUGGUGGUCUGUGCUUGUAGUCCUAGCUAUUCUGGAGGUUGGGAAGAUUUCUUUAGCCCAGGAGUUCGUGGUUACAGUGAGCUAUGAUCACACCACUGCACUCCAGAAUGGAUGACAAAGUGAGACCUUGUGAUAUGGUUUGGCUGUAUCUCCACCCAAAUCUCACCUUGAAUUAUAAUCCCAUGUGUCAAGGGUGGGGCCAGGUGGAGAUAAUUGAAACAUGGGGGGUGGUUUCCCCUAUACUGUUCUCUUGGUCAUUAAUAAGUCUCAUUAGAUCUGAUGCUUUUAUAAAUGGGAGUUCCCCUGCACAAGCGCUCUUGCCUGCCACCGUGUAACAUGUGCCUUUGCUUCUCCUUUGCUUUCCUCCAUGAUGGUGAGGGCUUCCUAGCCAUGUGGAACUGUGAAUCCAUUAAACCUCUUUCUUUAUAAAUUACCCAGUCUCAGAUAUGUCUUUAUUAGCAGGCUGAGAAUCAACUAAUACACCCUGUGUUAAUGUAUUAAUACACGAAUAAAAAAAGUUGCUAAAUAUGUAGAAUUACACUCUGUGUCUUCCCUUUAGUGUUAGGAAGAUCAAAUAGGCACUACAAGAGCAUUUUCUUGCUAAAUGGUAUCUAAAUUCCCUCUUAUCAAUGGCAAUUACUCAUUUGGACUGCUAACACCAUACGGGCAAAAAUCCUGACAUGUGUGAGUCUUGUGGGAGAAGCACUUGGAAAAAAAACAAAAACAAAAACAAAAAACAGAGACAAACAUUUCUGAGCAAAAAUGCAAGCUUUUUAAAAAAAAUAGUUUGAUCAGUUCACAUCAUGUAGGUCAUUUCAUCUGGCCUCAUUGGCAUAUCAGUAGUAUAUAUUGAGCUAGGCGUGGUGGCUUACGCCUGUAAUCGCAGCACUUUGGGAGGCCGAGGCAGGCAGAUCACGAGGUGAAGAGAUCGAGACCAUCCUGGCCAACGUGGUAAAACCCCGUCUCUACUAAAAAUACAAAAAUUAGCUGGGCAAGGUGGCGGGCUCCUGUAGUCCCAGCUACUCGGGAGAGUGAGGCAGGAGAAUCACUUGAACCCGGGAGGCAGAGGUUGCAGUGAGCGAAGAUCGCACCACUGCACUCCAUCCUGGCAACAGAGUGAGAUCUGUCUAAAAAAAAAAAAAAAAGUAGUAUAUAUUGAAAGUAUAAAGGAGUGAACCACUUUGAAUUGUGUAUGACAAAAGAAGCUCAGAGUUCAGGUGAAAAAUGUGUUAUUACAAACUCAACUAUCAAUUUAAUCUGUCUUUAAUGUAUGAAUCAAAAUCAAGUGUUUUCUGUUGGGGUGAUCGGACCCAACACCAGGCCGUGGGGGCGACGAAGUCCCAUGGAGUCAAAGGAAUGAGAAAAGACAAGUUAAGAGAGAAACUGGGACCAGGGGCCAAUGCUAGUAUGGAGGCUGCAAAGGCCCCAAGCUCUGGGACCCCAUGCUAUUUAUUGGUGAUCAAACAAAGGAACAGGUGGUGAGGCUGUGGGGGUUGAAGGGAAGUGGUGUAUCAAGCAAAUGAGCUACAGCUGUGAUGGUUUAGCAUUUUCUUUGAAACAUAUGGCUACUUGAGAUAAUGGGAGUGCUAGAAGCAAGGAGCCAGCAAGUCUAGACACGUUCCAAAGGCCACAAGGGGUUUUAGACCCUGGACCCCAGACACGUUCCAAGACUCUUUUACAUUAUGUCAGACAUGCAGGCCCUGCCUCAAAUUCUCUCCCAACACUCAGCUUUUCUCCCAACAUUUUCUAUUACAAACGUCAAUGGAAAAAAUCAAUGCUCUGUUUAAAAUAUUGUAAAUACCAUCACUAUGUUUGAAGAUAUGUUUUAAUUUUUUAUUAUCCCUUUAAUUAAAAGAACUGUAUGCCAAUUAAUAAGCUGUUGCCUUUUAGAUCAAAAUUAAUCAUUCAUUGCCUGCUCUGUGAAAAUUGAGUCAGAUACCCUUAAAAAUAUAUUGUGUUGCAAUAGUAAGUUUUGUCAGUAGUUGAAGGUGGUUGGACAUUGUAAAAAGAGAUUUUCCUUUCUGAUUCCACUGUGGUCUCUCAGCCGUUUCCCAUAGCAUGCAUGCCUUUCUCCAGCACUAUAUUUCUACAGUAUGCAUGAGCAAUCCUGCAGCAACAAUGGCUUUUCUAGCAUCAGGCUCCUACAACGCAUGACAGUCAGCAGCACUAGUGGUCAGCCACUUCCUAUAUCCCCUACCCUUAGGUGGUUUCUAGUGUAGUGCUUCCAAUAAGACAUCUACCUGUGAACACCUUUCCCUGGCACCUAAGUGGGAAGAUUUCUGGAAAGUUCCACUGGUGCCACACACUGUGACUAUUCUGUGUAGCCUCUAACAAGCUCUGGAUUGCAAUCCACUUAUAGUAAAUAAAUGUCCACUUCAAACAUUCCCUCCUCAAAUUCUUGUGUUUUGUCUGCCUCCUGAUUGGACCCUCACUGAAAGAAUUAAUGCUGGCAUUGUUCCAAGAGAUAUUUCUACAGAGAUGAAUCUGGGAGGUUGUGUUGGUCAUUCGUUUAUGUCUGGGCACAUUCCGCAGCUCCUUGUCAAUGUGCAAUGGGAUACUAGUAACCUAUGACAUGCAGUGGUAUCACAAUUAAUCAAGCAAUGACCUGUGGUUGAUUGUGGCAAAGUGCCAACUGAAACACGUGCCUUGGGAGCCCGAGUGACUGCCGCACUGAAUGUUAUGGCAGUCAAGAUAACUGUAAGGACUGUGGGGUGGAAUGGAUUCAGUUGAGGGUCCUUGAGUGAUUAUGAACAGAAAAUAACAAGCUUAGGUUCCUUAAUUCUCAGUUCAAGCCACGGUUUGAAAACCUGAGAACUUCCAUGGCGACUAUAAAGGAAAUUCAUUUGUUGUAGCUGCAAGGCUGAUAUUGUUAAAUAUCAAAACCAAGAAUGAGAUCCUGAAACUUGGAAUGGGUCCUGAAACUUGGAAUGGGGGAAUCUGUUUAGACUCAGUUGAAACUGACCAUCUGGAAACAGAAAGUCAGGCUGAGCCUUUCCUACCAGUUUAAGUAGCUUCUCUCUAUUGUUUGAAGAAAAUAUCUUUCCUUUGCACAAAAGCUGGGUUAGAUACCAUUAAAGGGGAUGCCCAUUUUUCUUAAAGUCCCCUACAAAUCAUCACUUUUUGCUAGCAGCAUGACUAGACCCCGUAACUACGAUUGAAUAGCAACCUAUUCCUAAGAGAUAGGUACACACUAUGACCUGUAGGAAACAGCUACAUGCAAAAGGAACUGUGACAUAUAUUGGGAGAAACCUGGGGAAUGUUGGAAGAGCAUUCUAAGGCUGUUAUACUAAGGAGGACAAAAUAUAACAGUAGAUUGGGUUAAUUAAUCUCAGUGCUAUUACUGGGGAUUCAAGAUUUAUUGUGCUGCAGGCACGUGGCUCACACCUAUAAUCCCAGCACUUUGGAGGCCAAGGCAGGAGGAUAACAUGAGUCCAUAAUUUAAGACCGGUUUGGGCAGCAUAAUGAGACCUUGUAUCUACAAAAAAUAAAUAAAUAAAUUAGCCAGUGAGAGUGGUGCACCUAUAGUCCCAGCUACUUGGGGGCUGAGAUCAGAGGAUCACUUGAGCCCUGGAGGUUGAGGGUGCAGUGAGCUGUGAUCAUGCAACUGCAGCCCAGCCUGGGCAACAGAACCAGACCCUGUCUCAAAAAAUUAACAAAAAAAGAUUUAUUUUGUAGUUCUCCUGGUAGAGAUCUUUCAUCUCCUUGGUUAGAUGUAUUCCUUGGUAUUGCUGUCUUAGGUAGAGGAAGAGGGCUCAAACAUCUUGCUUAUGUGAUAACUUUGCCAAAGACACAACGUACAAUUUGUUUUAAAGGCCAGUGAGGGAUGUACCAGUAAUCAGAAUGUUUUGGCAAACAGAAGACUUUGGUGGUAGCUAACUGAUCACAGGGUCCCUAGAAUGAAAUAGAUGAGAAGCGCACUUAGAGUAUUGUUUGAUCUCUAUAUCAAGAAAAGUUUCGGGUCUGGUAGUCAAAUGUUCAACAGAUGCCUACCUAGCUUUCAACCCUAAGUCAAUUCACAGUUGCAGAGUGAUACCACACGGACCAUGAAAAGAACACUUGCUUGUAUGACUGAGACAAAAAAAGAAUGUCAUCGUGUUCUACCUUACCUGGGAAUAUGCUCAAUUGGUGACAAAAUUGUUGCCACUCUGUGCAUGACCACAAAAGUACCGCAGGUAUUGAUUUUGAAGUUACACAUAAACUUUAGUGAGUGGGCAUAUUUACAAAUAUGUAACCUGAGAAUAAUGAAGAUUAACUAUCUUUAAACAACAUAAGGAGUCAACAUCAGUUUCUGAAGUAAAAUAAUGACUAAGUUAAAUUUUCAAGGGCAAAUUCAGAUUUCAAGUGCACAGAACAUAGGAAGGAAAGGACAUGCAAAUCAGAAAAAUUCACAAGUGUAAUGAGGCUAGAAGGGACACGGCGCACCGAUUACAAAGGAAUCAGAAUGAUCUGUUCAUAGAGUUGUAAAUGGGGUUGUGGAGGAAGAAAUGAGGAGGAACAGAUAGGCAAGACAAGUUCUUUUCCUUCUAUGUAAAUAAGAGAAACUGAGAAAUUGUAACGUAAGACAAGAUCUAAUAUUAUUUUUGGACUUCAGAAUGGUAUUGCAUAAAUGCUUAAUUGUUCCUAAUUUUGGGAGGGGAAAAUGGAAAUAGCAUUUCCGUUGCAUUUUUGUGAACAAAAUUUGAGUGAUCAUGUUCUUUGUUGCAUGUAGUAGAUGGAGAGGUGAAUGAAAGAUUCAGCUUUCUUCCUGUACUUGAGGCAUCUGUGAAUUGGGAAUUCAGACAAACAAAUAAGCAACUAAUUCUGGAUAUAAAAUUUGUGAUUUAGACUAUGCAUUCUACUGGGGAAUUUCAGACGUACAGGAAUGUAGUUGAAAUUUAAGUGGUCAGGGAAUGCUAUCUAGAGGAAGAAAAUUAUGACUAGAGACAAGAAUAAAUAGUAGUAACUUAAAAAAAUAUAUAUCAGGGAAGAAAAAAUGGAUUUUUGUUUCAGGAAAGAAACUAAGUAUGAACAGAUGAUGAACUAUUUCAGGAACUGUGUCUGCAAUUUGUUCC